AAACUAUAUUCUUAGAACUUUGAAAGUUUUAAUGGAGGAAUUUUCUCGUAGUUUA
rnacentral:tRNA from 1 species